UGUCCCUCUGAGAGGUGACAAUAUUUUGCUUUCUUUCUUAGCAGUUUUCUGUACUGCAUGAUCAUAUUCCACAUCAUGAAAAUUCUGUAUAAUUUCAAUUUUCUUAGGUAAAAGGUAUAAGUAUUUUGUAAAUUCAGGAAAUAAUAUCUGAAACCAGUAAAAUACUGCUCAAGAGCUGAAUAUAUAGAAUCUCCUUAAAUUUUCACAGGAAGCCAGUGAUUUGUGCAAUUGUGCAUCUCACCAGAAUGAGUGCUGUUUGCAGAGGAAACCUGGAUGCACGUUUCUAGAAGGGCUGAAGGAGCUCAGCACUGGAUGUUGGGGAACAUCAAGAGACAAAGGAAGUGCUUAACGUGGCCACCAGUAGGCAUAUUCCUGGCUCUAACAUUAAUUUAUUCUUCGGUAUCUCCCCAGCCUGAUCCGCAUCAACACAUUCUUCAAUUGCUUCUGCUGUUUGGUCAUGGCACUCUCAUUUCUGUAUGAGUGAACUGCUUCAUUAAAUCUUUGCAUUUUUCUUUGCUAAGAGAUUUAAUUGCUGUGUGUGUGUCAAUAUUUUACAGAUGUUUACAGUGGUUAUAUCUAAUUUAAUUGGUUUCUUUAAGGGCUGCUAGGGCAAUGUUAUAUGAAUGCUCAUUAGCAACAUGAAAUUGUUGAAAAGUUGGAGUAUUUGAUGGUUGUUCUUAUUAAAGAUAUUCCAAGAAGUGAACUUUGGUGUUGCCUAGAAGCAAAAUGAAGAAACAGACAUUAUUGAGGUGUAUUGUAUGCAGGGGAGGGUGUCCAACACUUCACACCCGAUGCAGAUUGCCUGUGAUGGAGAAAGAUAAAAAUAUAUGAAAACACAUUUUGCAGGUCUUUCAAUUUGGACAGUUCUAGAAAUAGCAGAAACAACAAAUGCCUGUGCUUUCUUAUACUGCAUCACAUGAUAGUGCUCUUGUAAAGAAUUAAACAAGUGAAAUUUUUUUUACAUACUCUCUACUGUGCAAAAUUUUUUGCUUGGGAAAGAGCAGAAGCUUCACAAAGCAUGUGGGCAUGAGUACUACAUUGGGAAUAUAGGGAAUGGAAAAAGAAUGGGGAAUAAGGCACAGGUAGAGAAAUAACAGAAGCUAAAACAGGGAAAUUAAACACUGAAAGUAUUAGCUAAGUGAACACCUGCCUUCUGGCUGCUGGAAAGUAACAUUUCUCUUUCCACUUUGAGACUGAUAAUUCAUUAUUAAAGGUAGCAUAAUAUUUUUCAUUUAUAUUUCACUUUAACUGCACUGCAGGCAAUCCUCAUGUAAAGAAAUAAUUUCUCCGCAAAGCCCAAGAGGUUACAAAUAAUUGCUUUAAUAGUAAUUGAAUUAUGUCUUAUUAUCGGUAUCUUAUAAGAAUUAUAUUUGAAAAUGCACUAGUUAUGAUAUGUAAGGUUUCAAUUCUACUUAAAGUGAUACAUGCUUCACUUAUAUGUCAACAGAAAUUAGUACUAAACCUAAUGAAAACUAUACAUGUGCCUGUGUCUGCUCUCUUUAAUGCCACUGUGAGUCUUGCAAUUGAGUAUGGCAUUAGCAUCCAUACUACAGAUUAACAUUGCCAUUGGGAACCAACAUUAAAAUUAUGCUAUACAAUAACCAUCUUUCAAAUGCACGUCACAGCACAGAUGCUCUAAACUUCUGUGUAUAACACCAUUAUAGAAAUCUGACACAAAUUUUUGGCACUAAAUUUCUUGACCCAAAUGAUUACUUCAUUUCGCAUCUAUAUAUAGUAUUAAAAUGAAAAGGUCUAUCCAGAACUGUAGUUCAGAAAAUAGGUCAAAGAAAGAUCAUGGCACAUCUACCACCUGGAGCUCAUGAGCCUAAUUCAUACUCUAGUAUGUGCAACAAAAAUAAAGGGUGAUGGGGACAUCUUCUUCGAAAUGGAUUGAAGACCACAGAGUUAAGUAACCUGAAGUAUAAUUCUACUGCGGUCAGUUGCAUUUUAUGGAAGAAUAAAUAAGGAUGUUGUGCAAAAAAAGGUUUCUAAUCUUAACAUUAUUACUAAAAGUAAGAUG